CCUACGGGGUGCUGCAGUGGGGAAUAUUGCACAAUGGGGGAAACCCUGAUGCAGCGACGCCGCGUGAGUGAAGAAGUAUUUCGGUAUGUAAAGCUCUAUCAGCAGGGAAGAAGCAAGACGGUACCUGACUAAGAAGCCCCGGCUAACUACGUGCCAGCAGCCGCGGUAAUACGUAGGGGGCAAGCGUUAUCCGGAUUUACUGGGUGUAAAGGGAGCGUAGACGGUAUGGCAAGUCUGAAGUGAAAGCCCAGGGCUUAACCCUGGGACUGCUUUGGAAACUGUUAGACUAGAGUGCUGGAGAGGUAAGUGGAAUUCCUAGUGUAGCGGUGAAAUGCGUAGAUAUCAGGAGGAACACCGGCGGCGAAGGCGGCCUGCUGGACCGCGACUGACGUUGAGGCUCGAAAGCGUGGGGAGCGAACAGGAUUAGAUACCCUGGUAGUC
rnacentral:rRNA from 1 species